CAUUCUGUUGAUAUGACACAAAGUACAGCCCAGUUUCGUAUUCCUUCCACUCUGAAGGAGUUUCACAUCAGAAGAACAGAAAAUUAGACUUCUACCGACUCUGAGAGACGGGGAGUGGAGCCAGCAGCAAUAUUUAGCAGAGUGACUGAUUUCUGGCACCAUCUAGCUUCUCUGCAACAGGAAUCUGGCAGCCUGCACACUUAAGAGUGGACCAAGCAGAAAAGAAUUCUGACAAGCUGAGCUUCAAGAACACCUGCAUAAGAACUCUGCUCACAAUGAAAAUAAGAAAGAAAUCUGGGAAACUGCCAGCUCCUUGCAGAAAGACUGAAACAUGAUCAGCAGAGAAGGGUGUUGGUGUCGACAU
rnacentral:lncRNA from 1 species